rnacentral:rRNA from 1 species
ACACGACUACAUUAGAUACCCGUGUAGUCCUAGCCGUAAACGAUACUCGCUAGGUGUCGGCCACGGUGCGACCGUUGUCGGUGCCGUAGGGAAGCCGUGAAGCGAGCCACCUGGGAAGUACGGCCGCAAGGCUGAAACUUAAAGGAAUUGGCGGGGGAGCACAACAACGGGCGGAGCUUGCGGUUUAAUUGGAUUCAACGCCGGAAAUCUUACCGGGACCGACAGCAACAUGAAGGCCAAGCUGAAGACUUUGCCGGAUUAGCUG